rnacentral:misc_RNA from 1 species
CCGUCCCGCUAACUGACGUAUUUACGAUCGGACUUUCUCGAUGAAUUGGUUUUAUUUUUCAGUGUUUACAUUCAGUGAAAAGAAAGUGACUUGUUUAUCUAGCUAAUUAUCUAUAAGUGUGUUUGACGCUUCUGUUCUACAACCAUUCGGAACAUGUAAUUUACACUCGACAUGGAAGAAGGUACUACUUGUGUAGAAGAUACCGUAUCCCCAGCGGGAGUCACUCAAAACAGUGAAAUUUCUGAACAACAACAACAACAACUCGACGAAUCGAAAACCGAAACUGAUAUCUCCGUAAAUCCUGAAAAUAUAAGUUCUAUCAAAGAUGAAGAAAGUGAAAUUAAAGAGGAUACUGAUCCGAACAAGGACGAAAGCGGCGUGGUCGUGGAUACUGCAGAACAAGAACCUUUAACUGUUUUUAAGCAGUCGUUAGGGGAGCAAGACGCGUGUGAAACGAAUGAAGAUGCGAGAUCACUGGGAGACCUCGAUAGCUUGCCGGCAGGAGACGAGCUGGCGCUCGGUGCUGCGGGCAGCGAUAGCGGCGUCGAAGGUUGCGGCCGCGCACUCAGCAGUGGUGGAGGAUCGAGAUCGUGCGCUUCUAGUGUUGUGUCGUGUGGUUCGGGCUGCGGCUCUGAGAGUUCCUCGUUGGCGGGCGCACCUCCCCUACCUCGUCGACGAGUAAAUGUAAACGUUCCCGAUCCGAAACGAAGUUCACCUAUCGGUUCAUCCACGCCACGACCGGCUACUGCACCUCGCGGACCGAACUUGGCCACUAGAGAACGUGCAAGAAGCAGAGAGAAACCAACUUUGCCAGAGAAGCCUCGACCGCUCACCCCUAAACCUCGAAUCAGACCUAAUGGAGAUCUGCCGAAUCUUGUUAGAGAAAGUCCCGCAUUGCGCGCAAAGCCAACCAAAACCUCAUCGGCUCGAUGUCGCACCCCUAGCUCUCCAUGUGAAGAAAAAAGGUGGCCAACCAAUGGACCGCGACUGACGCCGAAUCCAGAGAACACUGUAACUCGGUCCACCUCAGAUAAAUAUGCUACUUUGCCUCGGAGAAAACGUGAGACGGACGCCGAAGGUUCACCUAAACAUGAGACAACACCACCAACGUCGAGGAGACCGACUGUUUCCAGGUCGGCAUCUUCACGCUGUGCCAUAAAAACUCGCGUGCGGAUAUACGCAGAGAGGACCUCCCAGACAGUACUCUUGGGAACGGACGUUGAAGCGGCGCUCGCGGGCAUCGUGCCAAAUAUAGAAACAAAGCUCGCGGUAUCCCGGUGCGAGCGCGGCGUGCAGGCGAGCACGCGCGGCGCGGAGAGCGCGCGGCUGUCGGCGCUGCAGGCGGAGUGCGCGGAGCUGCGGGCGCGCGCCGCCGCCGCCGACGCGCAGCUGCGGGCCGAGCGCGCCGCGCGCCUCGCCGCCAUCGCGCAGCUCGACGACAACACGCGCCGACUGCUCGAGCUCGCCGGCGCAGCAGGCGCGGACGCCGGAGCGGAGGGCUGCCUGCACGCGCUGGGCGAACAGCUGCGGUCCGCUGGGGAGCUGGCGGCCAGGCAGCGGGCGGAGAUAGACGCUCUGCGCGACCACUGCAAUAAGCUGCAAAUUGAGUGGUGCACGUCCCGCCAGCGCGCGACGGCGGCCGAGGCGCGGCUGGUGGAGGCGGAGCGCGACGCCGCCGAGAUGCACGACUUCCUCGCCGCCGAGACCGCCGCGCUCGCCGACUCGCUCAGGGACGCCGACCGACAGCUCGUCGCCACCAACGCCGAGCUCGACAAGAGACGUGCGGAGUGUCGGCAGCUGGUGCGGCUGUGCGAGCAGCGUCGCCAGGAGGCGCUGUGCUGGGCGGCGCGGGUGCGCGGCGGCGCGGCGGGCGCGGGCCGGGCGCUGCUCGCGCUCUCCCGCCGCCUGCAGCGCCUCACGCGCGCGCUGCUCGCCGCCUACGGGCUGCCCCCCGACCUGCUGCAGCCCACCGUCUACCACAACGACGCCUUCAGUCGCAGUGACAGCGGCGAGGCCGGCACCCCGGAGGAGGAGGGGCGCGGCGGGCUGCUGGCGGCCAUCGCUCGCGCCGUGCGGGCCGCGCCGCCCAUCGCCACCAGCAUCGCCCAUGCCGCCGCCGCGCACGCCGCCGCCACCCCGCACGACGACGACGCCUCCGACGACAACUCCGCCGACCUACUCGACUCCGAAACUGAACCCUGUCUCGUUACGGACCCCGAUUGCGUCGAGGACUGGUGGUCCGGGCCGGAGGGGGCGGACGGUAUCGGCAUUUCUAGCGGAGACGAACUGUCGCCGGAGAGAGACUCUGUGGACUUUGAGAAAGAGGUGGAGUCGGGUUCGGAGUCGCUGCGCACGCUGUCGGCCGCCAUCGCGCACCGGCAGCGCUGCGAGGCGGAGGAGCCGGAGCGCGACGUGCUGAUGCGGCGCGUGCUGGCGCUGGACGACACGCUGUCCCGCCUGCUGGGCGCGCUACGCUUGGCUGCCGCGCACCACGACAAGCAGCACGACGCCACCCUGCUCAGCGCGCUCAGAGAAAAAAUAGACGUAACAGAAAAAAACGUGGCGGACGUGGUAGUGAAGAAGCUGGCUGAACUCGACGCAAGUAAGAAUAUGAUGGAGCAGUACCGACAGUCGGUCGAGGUAUUUACACCAUUCAGGGCCUGCUUGGCGAUCUCGAGUCAAGAAUAAAACGCCAAGACGCUCAAAAAUCAACUGGCACAUCACGAUGAAGAGGACGAUUUGGAUCUAAUCGAAGAGGAGGCGUGGUCGUACGGCGACGUCUCGCGGGCGGAGUGUGCGGGCGCGCUGUGCG